AAUCGACGCUGGCGGCAUGCCUAACACAUGCAAGUCGAGCGAGAAAGUGUAGCAAUACAUGAGUAAAGCGGCGCACGAGUGAGUAACACGUGGAUAACCUGCCUCAGAGUGGGGAAUAACACCGGGAAACCGGUGCUAAUACCGCAUAUUCUGACAGAGCCUGCGGGCUUUGGCAGGAAAGGAGCAAUUCGCUCUGAGAGGGGUCCGCGGCUGAUUAGCUAGUUGGUGAGGUAAUGGCUCACCAAGGCUACGAUCAGUAGCCGGUCUGAGAGGACGGUCGGCCACACUGGAACUGAGACACGGUCCAGACUCCUACGGGAGGCAGCAGUGGGGAAUUUUUCGCAAUGGGGGCAACCCUGACGAAGCAAUGCCGCGUGGAUGAUGAAGUCUCUUGGGACGUAAAAUCCUUUCGACAGGGACGAAACCGCAGGGUUGACGGUACCUGUAGAAGAAGCCCCGGCUAACUCCGUGCCAGCCGCCGCAGUAAAAC
rnacentral:rRNA from 1 species